UACGUAGGUGGCAAGCGUUAUCCGGAAUUACUGGGCGUAAAGGGCGCGUAGGCGGCGUGUCAAGUCAGGCGUGAAAGCCCCGGGCUCAACCUGGGAACCGCGCUUGAGACUGGCAUGCUCGAGUUCGGGAGAGGAUGGUGGAAUUCCCAGUGUAGAGGUGAAAUUCGUAGAUAUUGGGAAGAACACCGAUGGCGAAGGCAGCCAUCUGGACCGACACUGACGCUGAGGCGCGUAAGCGUGGGGAGCAAACAGG
rnacentral:rRNA from 1 species